GCCUUUGGCUAUACCACUCUAAACAUGCCUGAUCUCCUCUGAUCUUGGAAGCUAAGCAAGGUUAGGCCUUGUUAGUACUUGGAUAGAAGGGAGACAGAGAGAGAAAAGGCAGGUGCUUGAGGCA
rnacentral:rRNA from 1 species